rnacentral:rRNA from 1 species
GGUUAAGCGACUAAGCGUACACGGUGGAUGCCCUGGCAGUCAGAGGCGAUGAAGGACGUGCUAAUCUGCGAUAAGCGUCGGUAAGGUGAUAUGAACCGUUAUAACCGGCGAUUUCCGAAUGGGGAAACCCAGUGUGUUUCGACACACUAUCAUUAACUGAAUCCAUAGGUUAAUGAGGCGAACCGGGGGAACUGAAACAUCUAAGUACCCCGAGGAAAAGAAAUCAACCGAGAUUCCCCCAGUAGCGGCGAGCGAACGGGGAGCAGCCCAGAGCCUGAAUCAGUGUGUGUGUUAGUGGAAGCGUCUGGAAAGGCGCGCGAUACAGGGUGACAGCCCCGUACACAAAAAUGCACAUACUGUGAGCUCGAUGAGUAGGGCGGGACACGUGGUAUCCUGUCUGAAUAUGGGGGGACCAUCCUCCAAGGCUAAAUACUCCUGACUGACCGAUAGUGAACCAGUACCGUGAGGGAAAGGCGAAAAGAACCCCGGCGAGGGGAGUGAAAAAGAACCUGAAACCGUGUACGUACAAGCAGUGGGAGCACAGAGCAAUCUGUGUGACUGCGUACCUUUUGUAUAAUGGGUCAGCGACUUAUAUUCUGUAGCAAGGUUAACCGAAUAGGGGAGCCGAAGGGAAACCGAGUCUUAACUGGGCGUUAAGUUGCAGGGUAUAGACCCGAAACCCGGUGAUCUAGCCAUGGGCAGGUUGAAGGUUGGGUAACACUAACUGGAGGACCGAACCGACUAAUGUUGAAAAAUUAGCGGAUGACUUGUGGCUGGGGGUGAAAGACCAAUCAAACCGGGAGAUAGCUGGUUCUCCCCGAAAGCUAUUUAGGUAGCGCCUCGUGAAUUCAUCUCCGGGGGUAGAGCACUGUUUCGGCAAGGGGGUCAUCCCGACUUACCAACCCGAUGCAAACUGCGAAUACCGGAGAAUGUUAUCACGGGAGACACACGGCGGGUGCUAACGUCCGUCGUGAAGAGGGAAACAACCCAGACCGCCAGCUAAGGUCCCAAAGUCAUGGUUAAGUGGGAAACGAUGUGGGAAGGCCCAGACAGCCAGGAUGUUGGCUUAGAAGCAGCCAUCAUUUAAAGAAAGCGUAAUAGCUCACUGGUCGAGUCGGCCUGCGCGGAAGAUGUAACGGGGCUAAACCAUGCACCGAAGCUGCGGCAGCGACGCUGAUGCGUUGUUGGGUAGGGGAGCGUUCUGUAAGCCUGUGAAGGUGUGCUGUGAGGCAUGCUGGAGGUAUCAGAAGUGCGAAUGCUGACAUAAGUAACGAUAAAGCGGGUGAAAAGCCCGCUCGCCGGAAGACCAAGGGUUCCUGUCCAACGUUAAUCGGGGCAGGGUGAGUCGACCCCUAAGGCGAGGCCGAAAGGCGUAGUCGAUGGGAAACAGGUUAAUAUUCCUGUACUUGGUGUUACUGCGAAGGGGGGACGGAGAAGGCUAUGUUGGCCGGGCGACGGUUGUCCCGGUUUAAGCGUGUAGGCUGGUUUUCCAGGCAAAUCCGGAAAAUCAAGGCUGAGGCGUGAUGACGAGGCACUACGGUGCUGAAGCAACAAAUGCCCUGCUUCCAGGAAAAGCCUCUAAGCAUCAGGUAACAUCAAAUCGUACCCCAAACCGACACAGGUGGUCAGGUAGAGAAUACCAAGGCGCUUGAGAGAACUCGGGUGAAGGAACUAGGCAAAAUGGUGCCGUAACUUCGGGAGAAGGCACGCUGAUAUGUAGGUGAAGUCCCUCGCGGAUGGAGCUGAAAUCAGUCGAAGAUACCAGCUGGCUGCAACUGUUUAUUAAAAACACAGCACUGUGCAAACACGAAAGUGGACGUAUACGGUGUGACGCCUGCCCGGUGCCGGAAGGUUAAUUGAUGGGGUCAGCGCAAGCGAAGCUCUUGAUCGAAGCCCCGGUAAACGGCGGCCGUAACUAUAACGGUCCUAAGGUAGCGAAAUUCCUUGUCGGGUAAGUUCCGACCUGCACGAAUGGCGUAAUGAUGGCCAGGCUGUCUCCACCCGAGACUCAGUGAAAUUGAACUCGCUGUGAAGAUGCAGUGUACCCGCGGCAAGACGGAAAGACCCCGUGAACCUUUACUAUAGCUUGACACUGAACAUUGAGCCUUGAUGUGUAGGAUAGGUGGGAGGCUUUGAAGUGUGGACGCCAGUCUGCAUGGAGCCGACCUUGAAAUACCACCCUUUAAUGUUUGAUGUUCUAACGUUGACCCGUAAUCCGGGUUGCGGACAGUGUCUGGUGGGUAGUUUGACUGGGGCGGUCUCCUCCUAAAGAGUAACGGAGGAGCACGAAGGUUGGCUAAUCCUGGUCGGACAUCAGGAGGUUAGUGCAAUGGCAUAAGCCAGCUUGACUGCGAGCGUGACGGCGCGAGCAGGUGCGAAAGCAGGUCAUAGUGAUCCGGUGGUUCUGAAUGGAAGGGCCAUCGCUCAACGGAUAAAAGGUACUCCGGGGAUAACAGGCUGAUACCGCCCAAGAGUUCAUAUCGACGGCGGUGUUUGGCACCUCGAUGUCGGCUCAUCACAUCCUGGGGCUGAAGUAGGUCCCAAGGGUAUGGCUGUUCGCCAUUUAAAGUGGUACGCGAGCUGGGUUUAGAACGUCGUGAGACAGUUCGGUCCCUAUCUGCCGUGGGCGCUGGAGAACUGAGGGGGGCUGCUCCUAGUACGAGAGGACCGGAGUGGACGCAUCACUGGUGUUCGGGUUGUCAUGCCAAUGGCACUGCCCGGUAGCUAAAUGCGGAAGAGAUAAGUGCUGAAAGCAUCUAAGCACGAAACUUGCCCCGAGAUGAGUUCUCCCUGACUCCUUGAGAGUCCUGAAGGAACGUUGAAGACGACGACGUUGAUAGGCCGGGUGUGUAAGCGCAGCGAUGCGUUGAGCUAACCGGUACUAAUGAACCGUGAGGCUUAACCUU